AGAGGGUGCGAACGUUGCUCGGAAUUACUGGGCGUAAAGCGCAUGUAGGCGGGUCUGCAAGUCAGAUGUGAAAUCCCCGGGCUCAACCCGGGAACUGCAUCUGAAACUGCAGGCCUUGAGUACUGGAGAGGGUGGCGGAAUUCCUGGUGUAGAGGUGAAAUUCGUAGAUAUCAGGAGGAACACCGGUGGCGAAGGCGGCCACCUGGACAGUAACUGACGCUGAGAUGCGAAAGCGUGGGGAGCAAACAGGAUUAGAUACCCUGGUAGUCCACGCCGUAAACGAUGGGUGCUAGGUGUCUCGGGUAUUGACCCCUGAGGUGCCGUAGCUAACGCGUUAAGCACCCCGCCUGGGAAGUACGGUCGCAAGACUA
rnacentral:rRNA from 1 species